GUGGUAAGACGAUCUGUCGCGGCCAAUCUCCGGCUUUCCGGGGAUGAUGCUGAGGAAAGUCCGCACAGGGCAGGGCACCCGUCUGUGGAAAGCACAGUGGGGAGUAAUCUUCAAGGUACCUGUAACAGAGAAUAACCGCCGAAAGGUAAGGGUGAAAACGCGGGGUAAGAGCCCACGACGCUGCAUGGCGACAUGUAGCGGGUACGGUACCCGGGCCUGCAAGACCAAAUAUACCGGCAGAUGAGGACGGCCCGUCCGAUGCCGGGGGGUAGGUUGCGAAGAUAAAUGACAGAUUCAAAAACAGAAAGCGGCUUACGGCCUUGCCACUUUU
rnacentral:RNase_P_RNA from 1 species